UAAUUUAAUAUAUAUUAAAUUCGAAUUAAUAAAAAAAAAAAUUAAUAAAUUAA
rnacentral:tRNA from 1 species